UACGGGGGGGCAAGCGUUGUUCGGAAUUACUGGGCGUAAAGGGCUCGUAGGCGGCCAACUAAGUCGGACGUGAAAUCCCCAGGCUCAACCUGGGAACUGCGUCCGAUACUGGAUGGCUUGAAUUCGGGAGAGGGAUGCAGAAUUCCAGGUGUAGCGGCGAAAUGCGUAGAUAUCUGGAGGAAUACCGGUGGCGAAGGCGGCAUCCUGGACCGACAUUGACGCUGAUGAGCGAAAGCUAGGGGAGCAAACGGG
rnacentral:rRNA from 1 species